rnacentral:rRNA from 1 species
AAGGAGAGUUUGAUCCUGGCUCAGAAGGAACGCUGGCAGCGUGCAUAACACAUGCAAGUCGAACGAUGAAGCAUUCUUCGGAAUGUGGAAGAGUGGCGAACGGGUGAGGAACACGUAAGAAUCUGCCCCUCGGUCGGGGACAACUCUUGGAAACGAGAGCUAAUACCCGAUACGCUGUGGAGUGAAAGAAUUUCGCCGAGGGAUGAUCUUGCGUCUGAUUAGCUAGUUGGUGUGGUAAAGGCAUACCAAGGCGACGAUCAGUAGCUGGUCUGAGAGGAUGAACAGCCACAUUGGAACUGAGACACGGUCCAAACUCCUACGGGAGGCAGCAGUGGGGAAUUUUCCGCAAUGGGCGAAAGCCUGACGGAGCAACGCCGCGUGAGGGAUGAAGGCCUCUGGGCUGUAAACCUCUUUUAUCAAGGAAGAAGAUCUGACGGUACUUGAUGAAUAAGCCACGGCUAAUUCCGUGCCAGCAGCCGCGGUAAUACGGGAGUGGCAAGCGUUAUCCGGAAUUAUUGGGCGUAAAGCGUCCGCAGGCGGUCUGUCAAGUCUGCUGUUAAAGCGUGGAGCUUAACUCCAUUUCGGCAGUGGAAACUGACAGACUAGAGUGUGGUAGGGGCAGAGGGAAUUCCCGGUGUAGCGGUGAAAUGCGUAGAUAUCGGAAGGAACACCUGUGGCGAA